AAACCUGGCUCAUGAAUUCAUUGAUGUUUCUGAAGAAGCAUGUCACCCAGCGUGCCACUGAAAGCAGCAGACGGAGCCCUUGAGUGAACCAGAAGAAGACGCCUCGAUGUCUGAAGAAACAUCUGUGGAGGAACCGUCUGUUCUACAGAAUGAUGACCUUUCCCUUCCUGUACUUCCUAGACCUACUGUAAAAAAG